rnacentral:rRNA from 1 species
GAGUUUGAUUAUGGCUCAGGAUGAACGCUAGCGGUAGGCCUAACACAUGCAAGUCGAACGGUAACAGAAAGAGCUUGCUCUUUGCUGACGAGUGGCGAACGGGUGCGUAACACGUAUGCAACUUACCCUUUACUGGGGAAUAGCCCAGAGAAAUCUGGAUUAAUACCCCAUAUUAUCAUGGAUUCGCAUGUUUCUAUGAUGAAAGCUUUUGCGGUAAAGGAUAGGCAUGCGGCCCAUUAGUUAGUUGGGUGAGGUAACGGCUCACCAAGACAACGAUGGGUAGGGGGUCUGAGAGGAUGAUCCCCCCACACUGGUACUGAGACACGGACCAGACUCCUACGGGAGGCAGCAGUGAGGAAUAUUGGACAAUGGGGCGAAAGCCUGAUCCAGCCAUACCGCGUGCAGGAAGACAGCCCUACGGGUCGUAAACUGCUUUUGUUUGCCAAGAAACCUCCCCCACGUGUGGGGGAACUGACGGUAGCAUUCGAAAUAAGGGACCGGCUAACUCCGUGCCAGCAGCCGGCGGUUAUUACGGGAGGGGCCAAGCGUUAUCGGAAUUUAUUGGGUUUAAAGGGUUCGUAGGCGGAAAGAUAAGCCGUGGU